rnacentral:rRNA from 1 species
UGUAAGCGUAUACCAAAGUUGUUGCAGUUAAAACGCUCGUAGUCGGAAUUUGGCAGUUUCGGAUGUGUGCACGUCGUGUGCGCACUUCGCGGGGAUUGCUUUUGUGGUCUUGCGUAGGAUGAGGCACUUUUAUUAGUGAACGUCCUCACGCAACCACUUUUUACUGUGAGAAAAUCAGAGUGCUCAAAGCAGGCAUUUGCCGUGAAUGUAUUAGCAUGGAAUAAUAGAAUAGGACUUGGUUCUAUUUUGUUGGUUUGUUGGGACUGAGUAAUGAUUAAGAGGGACAGUUGGGGGCAUUUGUAUUUCGGUGCUAGAGGUGAAAUUCUUAGAUUACCGAAAGACAAACUGCUGCGAAAGCGUCUGCCAAGGAUGUUUUCAUUGA